rnacentral:rRNA from 1 species
CAGUCGCCACGGGAAUACGAGGGGGGCAAGCGUUGUUCGGAAUUAUUGGGCGUAAAGGGCGCGUAGGCGGUUUGGCAAGUUUCGUGUGAAAUCUUCGGGCUCAACUCGAAGUCUGCACGGAAAACUGCCGGGCUUGAGUAUGGGAGAGGUGAGUGGAAUUUCCGGUGUAGAGGUGAAAUGCGUAGAGAUGUGGAGGAACACCAGUGGCGAAGGCGACUCUCUGGUCUGUAACUGACGCUGAGGAGCGAAAGCGUGGGGAGCGAACAGGAUUAGAGACCCGUGUAGUCCCUGUCUCUUAUAC